UUUAGUUAUAAUUGUAGAAGACUAUUUGAUGUGUUAAUUUAAAACUCAAGCCUAGGUUUAAGAUUUGAGCAGGGAUCUUUUGUCAUUGUUGAUGAAGCCACUAAUAAAUGUCAUAUUGAGUAGAGACUUCGGUCAUGAGAUGCUUACAUGAAUUAUCAUAUAUAGCAUUACUGAUGGAUGUUAAGAAUCUUGGUGAAGGAAGAUCUGGAGAUCGAUCGAGUUAAAUUCUAAUCAUAGUGUAUUGGCUCAAUGACUUCUAACCCAUUGAAUUUGAAGUAAAUUCUGUUGGAAGGAAAAUCAAUGUAGAUCUUCUAAUUAAAUUGCUAAGGGAAUACAAGAAUUACCCCCCUUUAAAUUAAACUUAGAUAUUUUGGAUUCUAAGAAGGUUGUGGAG
rnacentral:lncRNA from 1 species